rnacentral:sRNA from 12 species
AUUUGCUGUUUAUUAAAAACACUUCUGCAUGGUGAAUCCCCCUGUGCGGAGGGGCGACUGGUGUAGGUAGCAUUUAUUAUGUUAUAGGCAAGCCGACGCGGGUUCAGUGACACCGGCUGAAUUCACCGGGAGGCACCCGGCACCAUGCAAGAAAAAGAAUGUGCAUGCAAACAUGCCCCUCUCCGGAGGGGCAUUUUUUAUGG